rnacentral:lncRNA from 1 species
CAGACAGAGCUGCAUGAAAGUGCUGAGAGAGGAAGCCUGCCUGUGAGCUCUUGGAUUUAACCCUUCCUUGUCUGGUACAUCUUUUGCAAGUGAAGAAACGGAGGCACAGAGGAAUAUGCAUAAAAUCUUCACUCUCCUUAAUUAUAUAGACCAAAUGCUGUGUGACUAGAAAAAGACACAGGGGAAGAAAGAGCAUCUAAGACAAAUUGUCUGUGGCAAAGAUUCAUAAACUGGAAGAAUUAAGCUGCAUCUUCAAAGUGUCCUUCCCUCGGGCAGCCAUCUUCAGUCGUGAUGUUUUGUGAGGCUCGGGGCUGAACCCAAGGCCUCAUGCAGAUUAAUCAAGCUCUCUACCACUAA